rnacentral:tRNA from 1 species
GCCCAGAAAUGGUAGUUGGUAGAGCAUGAGACUCUUAAUCUCAGGGUUGUGGGUUCGAGCCCCAGAUUGGGCA